AGUGGCUCUCAACCUUCCUAAUGCUGCCACACUUUAAUACAGUUCCUCAUGUGGUGGUGACCCCAACCAUGGUAUUUUCAUUGCUUCAUCAUAACUGCAAUUUUGCUGCUGCUAUGAAUCAUAACUAAUAAACCUUCCUGAAGAGAAGAAAACACAGAAAAAUAAUCUCCUGGGGAAUCAUGGACUAGGACUGCAGACAGAGUAAACUGGCUCAGCUCUAUACCAAGGUGCUGGAAUCUCAGUGCUCAGUUCUUCUAGAACACUGUUUCUCCAGGAGUGGCCUCCAGACAACUUGGAA
rnacentral:lncRNA from 1 species